AGUGAACGCUGGCGGCAUGCCUAACACAUGCAAGUCGAACGGUAACGGGCCCGCAAGGGUGCCGACGAGUGGCGGACGGGUGAGGAAUACAUCGGAAUCUGCCCGGUCGUGGGGGAUAACGUAGGGAAACUUACGCUAAUACCGCAUGAGACCGAGAGGUGAAAGCGGGGGAUCGCAAGACCUCGCGCGAUUGGAGCGGCCGAUGUCAGAUUAGGUAGUUGGUGGGGUAAAGGCUCACCAAGCCGACGAUCUGUAGCUGGUCUGAGAGGACGACCAGCCACACUGGGACGGAGACACGGCCCAGACUCCUACGGGAGGCAGCAGUGGGGAAUUUUGGACAAUGGGCGCAAGCCUGUUCCAGCCAUUCCGCGUGCAGGAUGAAGGCCUUCGGGUUGUAAACUGCUUUUGUACGGAACGAAAAGGCUCUGGUUAAUACCUGGGGCUCAUGACGGUACCGUAAGAAUAAGCACCGGCUAACUACGUGCCAGCAGCCGCGGUAA
rnacentral:rRNA from 1 species